rnacentral:rRNA from 1 species
UACGUAGGCAGCAAGCGUUGUUCGGAGUUACUGGGCGUAAAGGGUGCGUAGGCGACCUUAUAAGUAUGGUGUGAAAUCUCCCGGCUUAACUGGGAGGGUGCGCUAUAGACUGUGAGGCUAGAGUGUGGGAGAGGAAGUGGAAUUCCUGGUGUAGCGGUGAAAUGCGUAGAUAUCAGGAGGAACACCUGUGGCGAAAGCGGCUCACUGGACCACACUGACGCUGAGGCGCGAAAGCUAGGGGAGCAAACAGG